rnacentral:tRNA from 1 species
UAGCUCAGCUGGUUAGAGCGCAUGAUUCAUAAUCAUGAGGUCCCCGGUUCAAUCCCGG